rnacentral:rRNA from 1 species
GACGGAGGGUGCGAGCGUUGUUCGGAUUGACUGGGCGUAAAGGGUGUGUAGGCGGUUGGUCAAGUCUGAUGUGAAAACCCGGGGCUUAACCCCUGGCUUGCAGUGGAUACGGACAGACUAGAGGUAGGUAGGGGAGAAUGGAAUUCCCGGUGUAGCGGUGAAAUGCGCCAGAUAUCGGGAGGAACACCGGUGGCGAAGGCGGUCUCUGGGCCUUACCUGACGCUGAGGAGCGAAAGCAUGGGGAGCGAACAGG